AUGGGAUGCUUCCCCGGUUCUGGCCUGGUCUUGCCCUUUCCCGGACCUGCCUCCGGCUGCGGGGGCCGCCCGGGGAGCAUCCUCUCCCCCGCCUCCCAAGCUUGGCCUCCUCGGGAAGGAAGGGACCGCGGCGGCGGCAGAAGGAUUCCUUUUCAUUUUCAAGAAAAGAUAAAGCAUAAUCUGAACAUUUUCAGCUUCUGCAUAUAUAUAUAUAUAUUUAUAUUAUAUAUACGAACUUUUGAACCUCUACAUCCUGAAGAAUUCCCAUCUACAAGAAGAGAAAACAAUGAUUCCAAUGACAAAGGAACCAAAAAAGGUACAGAAAACUUGCCUCUUGAUGAAAGAGAUGCACAUAUAACCAUGUCCGUUCAGAGCAAUGACAACCCAAAGAACUACAUGUCACUUCAAGAGCAGGACACAUUUGCUCAGUUUGGGACAUUUUGUUUUAAGAAUUUCAUUAGCGCUCAUUUCCAAACAUUAAUGACCUAAAUCUUCUAAUUUGCUCUCUCUGCAGCUUGAAAGACCCCUGUGCACUCAAGUCCAGUAGAGUGCUUUAUACUGCAGUUAAAUUAAAAGCAUUGCUCUUAGUUUCCAAACUUGUGGUGGAACACAAAUUAAAAUUUCUCUUGCAGACAAAAAUCCAUAAGAGAUUUGAUGUGUUAUGUGCACACGUGCAUUGGUAUUUCCAUCUAUUUGCUUGAUGGAAUAUUACUACUGGAAAAUAAAAAUCACUGACUAAAGCAUAAUGGUGUAUUGUUACUUUCGUGGUAUUUUUAUCAUUGCUAGGCAAGAUUAUUAAAUCAACUAAAUUUUGCCAAGGUGGGGUUUCUGCAUAAUAGUAGCAAAUGGGCAAUAAGGUACAGAGAGUACAGGCAAGAAUGGUGUGUAAGCUUUCUUUCAAACACACCAGUGACAUGUGACACUCCCUUAAUCUCUCUAGGCCUGUAGUGGAGUAAAGCCUCCCUCUAUGGUCUUACUCUCCAAGAUGUAAAAAAAAAAAAUCACACAGGUCUCAAUGACUGCUUCUUCUCCAAAGAACUCAUGUAAGUUCACAUGUAACUAGGCACAGCAGCCUUGUGAAUUUUGACAGAAAUCACAAGGUAGCCAUCUCAAAAAGUAAACUGCCCUUCCUGUAAACGUACAUGCAACUUCCUCCCACCUUCCUGAAACCUAGUCUUCUCUCUGCUGGUUUUGACCUUGGCAAAAGCAGAGUACAAAAUGCAGCAGGAACAGGGCUAUCAGUGACAGACAUUUUCUUCCAGAAUUCAUUUUGGUGAAUUUGAA
rnacentral:lncRNA from 1 species